rnacentral:rRNA from 1 species
AGAUGCAAGGUAGCCGAACGUCCAGAUUUUUGUCGAAGUAUUGUCGAAAGGCAAUAUCGAGAACACUGGAGUGAUUAUGCUCACAUUAGUAGCCAAUAGUCUGUAAUAGUAAAUUUUAAAAAUCCUUUUGGUGUUACACCAUAAGGAUUGGUGAUAUAAUUGCCUGCUAGCAAAGCUAGCAGCACUGGUGGCUUCGCCACCAGGCUAUAAAAUUAUACUUAAGACGGCCGUAUUGCCCUUGGUUUCUGCUCUAAAAAGCAGAGUGAAUCGGUCUCUCAGUCAAAACACAAUGAUGUUUUACGAGGAGCACAACAAAGCGCAACAAUAAGAUUCUCCAUACUGGA